AACGCAUCUUGCGCUCCUUGGUAUUCCGAGGAGCAUGCCUGUUUGAGUGUCAUUAAAUUCUCAACCAUACUAAUUUUGUUGGUGUGGCUUGGAUUUGGGGGAGAAUCAUAUAUAUUUAUGUUCUUUUGCAGGCUUUGUAAAUGAAGUCGGCUCCCCUGAAAUUGAUUAGCGGUACCUCAGUAGAACCGUCUACAGGUGUGAUAACUUAUCUACAUCUUAGAUGUCUGCAUGAAAAGGUUAUGCUGCUUCUUAACCCUUACUCCUCAUUUGGAGCACUAAUGACAAUCUUGACCUCAAAUCAGGUAGGACUACCCGCUGAACUUAA
rnacentral:misc_RNA from 1 species